rnacentral:ncRNA from 1 species
GAUGGGACACCCCUCCCCAACGAGGGGCAACUAUCUGUAAGGAUAGAAAA